rfam:Paenibacillus sp. MAEPY2 contig13, whole genome shotgun sequence.
GAGGCGAUAUCGGCUAUUACAGACCGAAUUGCACUCCGGCAAUAGUAUGCUUUGUUCUGCUUCAUAUUUGUUGCAGUGACAAGGCAGGAAUGGUAAUAAAUGAACAAAGUGAGUUGUUGGAUUCUGCUCUGAGCCGAAGAGGACCGAGACAGAAGG